GUUCAGGCAGCCGUUUCCAUUCCCGCCCGGAGGCCCCGUGAUCAGGGGCCUGGCUUGGUCCUGUGGUCUGGUGGUUCCAGGUGAGGGAACACUCACUGGAAGUCACCCGUUGGGCUUCUCCAUGUCCCCAUGAUGUUCCAGCAACAAGAUUCUGUACAACCUGAACCAAGGAACCAAGAGUGAGAUUCUUCUUCUUCUCCUUCUCCUUCUUUUUUUUAAUGAGAAAUAUUAAACCAAAGAAGAACCAAA